UACCGGCGGCUCGAGUGGUGGCCACUAUUACUGGGCUUAAAGCGUCCGUAGCUGGAUUGUUAAGUCUCUUGGGAAAUCCACCGGCUCAACCGAUGGGCGUUCAGGAGAAACUGGCAAUCUAGGGACCGGGAGAGGUGAGAGGUACUCCAGGGGUAGGAGUGAAAUCCUGUAAUCCUUGGGGGACCACCUGUGGCGAAGGCGUCUCACUAGAACGGCUCCGACAGUGAGGGACGAAAGCUGGGGGAGCAAACCGG
rnacentral:rRNA from 2 species